UUUAGAGUGUAUAACUCACGUACCCGUGUGGUGAUGGAGUCUAUAAAUGUUGUGAUAGAUGAUGGUGUGAGUGAGGGGGAGAGUGCUAGAAAUUGUGAUAAAGAUGGUGAUCGUUUGGUUUCCAGUGAUCCUACUGAACUACCUGUGCCUGAAACAUCUGAAAAGGAAACACUUCUAGAUAAACAUUCUAAGGAACCAUCAACUAGGGUUAAAUCUAACCAUCCUAAGGAUAAUAUCAUUGGGGAUCUAGAUGAAG
rnacentral:lncRNA from 1 species